rnacentral:rRNA from 1 species
AAYGACUCUCGGCAACGGAUAUCUCGGCUCUUGCAUCGAUGAAGAACGUAGCGAAAUGCGAUACUUGGUGUGAAUUGCAGAAUCCCGUGAACCAUCGAGUUUUUGAACGCAAGUUGCGCCCGAAACCUUUAGGUUGAGGGCACGUCUGCCUGGGC